UACGAAGGGGGCUAGCGUUGCUCGGAAUCACUGGGCGUAAAGGGUGCGUAGGCGGGCCUUUUAAGUCAGGGGUGAAAUCCUGGAGCUCAACUCCAGAACUGCCUUUGAUACUGGACGAUCUUGAGUCCGGGAGAGGUGAGUGGAACUGCGAGUGUAGAGGUGAAAUUCGUAGAUAUUCGCAAGAACACCAGUGGCGAAGGCGGCUCACUGGCCCGGUACUGACGCUGAGGUGCGAAAGCGUGGGGAGCAAACAGG
rnacentral:rRNA from 1 species